GUGGGGAAUAUUGGGCAAUGGGCGAAAGCCUGACCCAGCAACGCCGCGUGAAGGAAGAAGGUCUUCGGAUCGUAAACUUCUAUCCUUGGUGAAGAUAAUGACGGUAGCCGAGAAGGAAGCCCCGGCUAACUACGUGCCAGCAGCCGCGGUAAUACGUAGGGGGCAAGCGUUGUCCGGGAUGAUUGGGCGUAAAGGGCGCGUAGGCGACCUGGUAAGUCUGGAGUGAAAGUCCUGCUUUUAAGGUGGGAAUUGCUUUGGAUACUGUCGGGCUUGAGUGCAGGAGAGGUAAGUGGAAUUCCCGGUGUAGCGGUGAAAUGCGUAGAGAUCGGGAGGAACACCAGUGGCGAAGGCGACUUACUGGACUGUAACUGACGCUGAGGCGCGAAAGUGUGGGGAGCAAACAGGAUUAGAAACCCCGGUAGUCC
rnacentral:rRNA from 1 species